UUUUCUGAAGUCAGCGUCACAUAAUUUUUUCCAUUUGAGAAAAAGAAAGUACGCUGUUAGAAAAAAAAAAAGAGAGGACGUCUAAAACAGCACAUUCAAAAUAACAUUCAGCCAGAUGCUUAGCAAGAGGUGGGAGGGGGAAUCCAGUAUUUGCAAGUAAACAGGUAAUCGGAGGAACAAAGCAUGUUGGGCAUUUCACAACAAAUCUUUGACCGCAGAA